GACAGAGGGUGCAAACGUUGUUCGGAAUUACUGGGCGUAAAGCGCGUGUAGGCUGCUCUGCAAGUCGGGUGUGAAAGCCCUGGGCUCAACCUAGGAAGUGCACUCGAAACUGCAAAGCUGGAGUCCUGGAGAGGAAGGCGGAAUUCUCGGUGUAGAGGUGAAAUUCGUAGAUAUCGAGAGGAACACCGGUGGCGAAGGCGGCAUCCUGGACCGACAUUGACGCUGAAAAGCGAAAGCUAGGGGAGCAAACGGG
rnacentral:rRNA from 1 species